rnacentral:rRNA from 1 species
GAAUAUUGGACAAUGGGCGCAAGCCUGAUCCAGCCAUGCCGCGUGAGUGAUGAAGGCCUUAGGGUUGUAAAGCUCUUUCGCACGCGACGAUAAUGACGGUAGCGUGAGAAGACGCCCCGGCUAACUUCGUGCCAGCAGCCGCGGUAAUACGAAGGGGGCUAGCGUUGCUCGGAAUCACUGGGCGUAAAGGGCGCGUAGGCGGACAUUUAAGUCGGGGGGUGAAAGCCCAGGGCUCAACCCUGGAAUUGCCUCCGAUACUGGGUGUCUAGAGACCGGAAGAGGUGAGUGGAACUGCGAGUGUAGAGGUGAAAUUCGUAGAUAUUCGCAAGAACACCAGUGGCGAAGGCGGCUCACUGGUCCGGUUCUGACGCUGAGGCGCGAAAGCGUGGGGAGCAAACAGG